UAUUAACUAAGUGAUAAAGGAUGUAAAUCGACAUAGACAACCAGGAGGUUGGCCUAGAAGCAGCAAUUUCCUUUAAAAAGUGCGUAAUAGCUUACUGGUUAAGUCUUUUUGCGCCGAAAAUGAACGGGGCUAAGUUAUUUACCGAAGCUAUGAGAUUUAUCGGUAGAGGAGCGUUCUGUUUUAGUGAGAAGCAAAAAUGGAAGUUUUUGUGGACUAUUCAGAAGUGAGAAUGU
rnacentral:rRNA from 1 species